GGGAGUGAAGGCCCGGGGCGGGCACUAGAUUCAGGUUCUAGUUCUCGCAAGGGAGUGGAGGUUCAAGUCCUCUCAUCCGCACCA
rnacentral:tRNA from 1 species